rnacentral:lncRNA from 10 species
UGAAGAAAUUUUAUUGACAAUGAAAGUACACUCCACAAUGUGGGACCGGGGCCCUGUUACAGAAUUUUUGGGAGUUUAAAUACCCUCUAGAGGAUUCCACUGGUUAGCUGGUGUAUGCCCUGUGUAAAUGAAGAGGGUGAAGUAAAGUUACAUAGUCAUUUACUCUGCAUCUGCCCUAUGGAGAGGAUAUUUCCUGUCAUAGCUGAAGCGUGAAUCUGCCUUAUAUUCCCUGCCUCCAGACCCUAUUUUCCUGCCUCAUUUCCUCUGUAAGAGAUGUGAUCCCCAUAAAUCUUCAUGGGAGGCAGAGGGACCAAUCGUCUUUUUUCUGUAACUGCUUCAUGCUGGCUUGCGGCAUAGUCUCUACCUAUUAAGGAUGACGGAACUCUCUCCCUGCUCUGUCUAGUGGAGGCGGGGUAGCUUCUUGAUGGUCAGGGGUGGUGUCUUCACCUGGAACUGGCUGGAAGCUUUGUUGCAUGAUCAUCUAAAACUUGGUGGUCUCUAGGAGAGAAGAAAUGAAUUUGGCUAAAAGAUUUAAUGGGAACUUCAGGGGGUGGAUACCUCUGUUGUCAAGAAUGUUUGCUAUAGAGAUUUGCAGGAGAAAAAACAAAACCUGGUCUGUUCUAGAAUCUGUGUUUCCUUAAAGUCUUAGCACAAGUGACUCCAUUUUUGUUUGGUUUGGUCUGUUGGGGCUUAGUGCAUGAGCUUAGUCCAAAACAAUAGCCUCCCAGAAUUUUGUUUAAAAUAUUCCCCCUUUUUGGUCAGGUUCUCACUUAGGUAAGAGUGUGACCAAAACUUAGGGCCUUAGCACCACUCUCAGUUACUAUCAUUUUUGGUUUC